GAUCAUGGCUCAGGAUGAACGCUAGCUACAGGCUUAACACAUGCAAGUCGAGGGGCAGCAUGGUCUUAGCUUGCUAAGGCCGAUGGCGACCGGCGCACGGGUGAGUAACACGUAUCCAACCUGCCGUCUACUCUUGGACAGCCUUCUGAAAGGAAGAUUAAUACAAGAUGGCAUCAUGAGUUCACAUGUUCACAUGAUAACGUAAGUUACGUUCGGUAGACGU
rnacentral:rRNA from 1 species